AAAUUGAAGAGUUUGAUCAUGGCUCAGAUUGAACGCUGGCGGCAGGCCUAACACAUGCAAGUCGAGCGGAAACGAGUUAUCUGAACCUUCGGGGAACGAUAACGGCGUCGAGCGGCGGACGGGUGAGUAAUGCCUAGG
rnacentral:rRNA from 2 species